rnacentral:rRNA from 1 species
UACAGAGGGUGCAAGCGUUAAUCGGAAUUACUGGGCGUAAAGCGUGCGUAGUCGGUUAUCUAAGUCAGGUGUGAAAUCCCCGGGCUCAACCUGGGAAUUGCAUUUGAUACUGGAUAGCUAGAGUUCGGCAGAGGGAAGUGGAAUUCCUGGUGUAGCGGUGAAAUGCGCAGAUAUCAGGAGGAACACCGGCGGCGAGGGCGGCACUCUGGGCCGGUACUGACGCUGAGGAGCGAAAGCGUGGGUAGCAAACAGG